UAAGGAAUAUUGGUCAAUGGACGCAAGUCUGAACCAGCCAUGCCGCGUGAAGGAUGAAGGUCCUCUGGAUUGUAAACUUCUUUUAUCUGGGACGAAAACGGGAUUUUUAUCUCAAUUGACGGUACCAGAGGAAUAAGCACCGGCUAACUCCGUGCCGGCAGCCGCGGUAAUACGGAGGGUGCGAGCGUUAUCCGGAUUUACUGGGUUUAAAGGGUGCGUAGGUGGGCUUAUAAGUCAGUGGUGAAAUCUCCGAGCUUAACUUGGAAACUGCCGUUGAUACUAUAGGUCUUGAAUUAUCUGGAGGUAAGCGGAAUAUGUCAUGUAGCGGUGAAAUGCUUAGAUAUGACAUAGAACACCAAUUGCGAAGGCAGCUUACUACAUAUAAAUUGACGCUGAGGCACGAAAGCGUGGGGAUCAAACA
rnacentral:rRNA from 1 species